AGAGUUUGAUCCUGGCUCAGAGUGAACGCUGGCGGCGUGCUUAACACAUGCAAGUCGAACGAGAACGGGUUAUAGCUUGCUAUAACUGUCAGCUAAGUGGCGCACGGGUGAGUAAUAUAUAGGUAAUGUGCCUUAGAGAAGAGAAUAAUUGUUGGAAACGACUUGUAAUGCUCUAUAUGCCCUUAAUACAAAAGUAUGCAGGGGAAAUAUUUAUAGCUCUAAGAUCGGCCUGUACGGUAUCAGCUUGUUGGUGAGGUAAUGGCUCACCAAGGCUAUGACGCCUAACUGGUUUGAGAGGAUGAUCAGUCACACUGGAACUGAGACACGGUCCAGACUCCUACGGGAGGCAGCAGUGGGGAAUAUUGCACAAUGGACGAAAGUCUGAUGCAGCAACGCCGCGUGGAGGAUGACACAUUUCGGUGCGUAAACUCCUUUUAUAUGAGAAGAAAAUGACGGUAUCAUAUGAAUAAGCGCCGGCUAACUCCGUGCCAGCAGCCGCGGUAAUACGGAGGGCGCAAGCGUUACUCGGAAUCACUGGGCGUAAAGAGCGUGUAGGCGGGUAUUUAAGUUGGAAGUGAAAUCCUAUGGCUCAACCAUAGAACUGCUUCCAAAACUGAAUACCUAGAAUAUGGGAGAGGUAUCCGUAGAGAUCAGAAGGAAUACCGAUUGCGAAGGCGAUCUACUGGAACAUUAUUGACGCUGAGACGCGAAAGCGUGGGUAGCAAACAGGAUUAGAUACCCUGGUAGUCCACGCCGUAAACGAUGACAACUAGCCGUUGGGAGGGUUUACCUCUUAGUGGCGAAGCUAACGCGUUAAGUUGUCCGCCUGGGGAGUACGGCCGCAAGGUUAAAACUCAAAGGAAUUGACGGGGACCCGCACAAGCGGUGGAGCAUGUGGUUUAAUUCGAUGCAACGCGAAGAACCUUACCUGGUCUUGACAUACACGGAACUUUCCAGAGAUGGAUUGGUGCCUUCGGGAACCGUGAUACAGGUGCUGCAUGGCUGUCGUCAGCUCGUGUCGUGAGAUGUUGGGUUAAGUCCCGUAACGAGCGCAACCCCUAUCCUUAUUUGCCAGCACAUUAUGGUGGGAACUAUAAGGAGACUGCCGGUGAUAAACCGGAGGAAGGCGGGGACGACGUCAAGUCAUCAUGGCCCUUACGACCAGGGCUACACACGUGCUACAAUGGGAAGGACAAAGGGUUGCUAAGCCGCGAGGUGGUGCUAAUCUCAUAAACCUUUUCGUAGUCCGGAUCGGAGUCUGCAACUCGACUCCGUGAAGUCGGAAUCGCUAGUAAUCGUGGAUCAGAAUGCCACGGUGAAUACGUUCCCGGGUCUUGUACACACCGCCCGUCAUACCAUGGGAGUGGGUUGCACCAGAAGUAGCUAGUCUAACUGUUUACAGGGGACGGUUACCACGGUGUGAUUCAUGACUGGGGUAAAGUCGUAACAAGGUAACC
rnacentral:rRNA from 1 species